GCCAGUUUCUACCCUGGAAAGGAAUGAUUUUUGGAAGCAAGCUGCUGCAAAAUGUGUUGGAACUCUCAGUGUUUACUUGCAUGGAGAGCCUCCUUCUAGGAGAGGUGAGAGGGACAUGCAAAGUAGUAUAAAAAAAUCUAAACAGGAAUUCUCUGCAGCUGUUCUAAUGUGGAAUAAAAAACACUGCUGAAAACAAAGCAACCGAGGAAGCAAAGGUCAAACAUGGAAGAGCAGAAAGUGGUGUUGAUCCGAGGCACAUUGGUACAACUGGAGCAACCCAACUUCCUUCCAAGGGGCACCUCUGACCCUUCCUGCAGGGUGAGACUCUGGCCUGUGUCAGCUGGCGUUUGAUCAAACGGCAGCUUCCUCUGGACGUGUGCCCCUGUGCCAAAACUACAGCCACUCGGUGUGAUGAAGAUGAGUAAUUUUUCCCUAGUGGCAGAAACAUUCAUGCCAUGUUUUCUAUCAAAGUUAUGGACAAUGAUUGCAUUUUAUGAUAAUGAGAACAAAGUGCAUCAUGGCUAAUGUGGGGAGUUAUUUUCCCUCCUAACAACAUGUUUCCACGUGUUGCAUCCUCAGGAAAGACACUCUGGCAUAGAUUUCCCCAAAGAGAAACUGUCUUCAGAUAAACUUUAAUAAUAGAAGAUGAUACCUGAAAGAACCCAGUGUUUAUAUAAGCCUUUAAUAGCUUUAAUGUCUUACAAGAAAAGAACCAGGAAACUCUCCCUACCAUGUCAAGGAGACAUUUACUCAGAAUUCUUUUUUCUUGCACUUAUUAAAGUUAUCCACUGCAGAUGUUGCAAGAGAAGCCUCUUUAUAGAGAAAAGGGUAAAGCAACGUGUUGCCAUGAAGAGUUUCCCAAACAGUGCCUGAUCUCAAGAAUCACCUGGCAAAACUGUAACUGAGUUGGGAUCUCCAGCGCAAGACCUGGGAACUGUAUCUUUCACAAGGACCCAUAGUGAUUUGUACACUCAGACAACUUUGGAAACCCUUACCAUAGUGGACAGAGCAGUGUGCUGGAUGUUAAGAGAUCUGCAUUUCAUUUCUGGCUUUGCCACAAACUUGGUGUUUGAUUUGGGUAUGUUUCAAUCUAUCUGGGUCUCGAUUUUCUUGUCUGUAAAGAAGGGAAUUUGACCUGAUGUCUAAAGUCCCUUCCAACUUUAAUGCUCCAUGAUUAUCCAAAAAUAUGCAUUUGUUUUUUAUAAGAGAAAGGAAAUAAGGAGGAUUAGCGGCAGGGGACAAGGGAAAGGAAAUAUGAAGGUCUUUCCCUUGUGUACAAAAGGGAAUGAGGACUUUUCUCCUGUUAUGUCUGGAAAAGAAUUUCUAAGAGCAGAGCUUAAGUUGAACAGAGAUUCAGUAAGAUUUCAGUUUUAAGUGAGAAAACUAGAACCAUUUACUGGCCCAGAGGGAGAAGAUGCAUACAUGUUAGACGUGAUUUGUAUUAAUUAUUCUGUGAUGAGCAAUCAUUCACGUGAACAUUAAGUUUCUCAAAAGAAAAAUCAUAAAGUGCCAAUGGGGUAUUUUCCUCUCAACUUGAUCACCUGAAAACCUUUUGGUUUUUAUCUAAAUGAAACCUCAAGUUUUUCCCUUAGUUGCUUUUCAGAAAUAAUGACUAUUUUCUUUCUUUAGAAGUUUGAUUGACAGGUCCCUACUAAGGAGGGAAAAUGAAUUUCAAAGGCAGACCUUAGAGAAACUGUUUUCUCUGUUCUCUCUGGACUUUUGUUGCUCCAGGUGUUACAGGAAAAACAAAUUUCUCAACUGGUCUAGUCCUUAAUAACAGUAUUAUUAAGAUCCCCAAGCACAUCUGAUAUUGCUCUUCCAAAAGAGUCUAGGGAGCUCCCUUCAUUUAUUGAUGCAGCAGCCACAAAGGGAUCACAUUUUGCUUUGUUUGAAGGACCUGAGUGCCCUUAUUAUUUUUGUUUGUAGAAACACCGCGGUACUCUUGAAAGAGGGGGGAGGGCAGGGAGACAUGGAAAAGAAAACAACCGUGGUCUCUGGCUGCCGAUUGCCUUUUUUAUUCACUUGAAAAGCCUCUUGGUUGAUUGAUUUGUGAUUUGGAUGUCACAUCUCUGUCUUCUCAACCCAGCACUCUGAAGUUUGUGCCUGCCGUGCACAGCUGAUACUCAGCAGUGUAUGCCAUAAGGUGAAUGAUUAUGGUGGGGAUAUUAAUUGGUUUGUUCCACCACAUUUUCCUUGGAAGUGCAGCAAACUUGCAAUUUUCAACGGCUGUGGGGGGCAAGAACAGCAUGCAUAAGUGGAAUCCGCAGAAAAAUAAAACUUCCUGCUUUACUGAAUAGUUUCCAAAGUUCUACUGGAUCAGAAGUGGGCUAAUCCUGAAAGCAAUGAUCAGCCAAAGGUGGGGGGACAUUUGCAAUAGCCUAAGGCAAGGGACGUGAGUCUUAUGAUGCUAAUUUAUUGUGAGAACUGAAGAUGAGAGGCUGAGGAAGGUUGCAAUUGCUCAACCUAAGCAGUAUAAUUACAGGUGCUUAAACAACUCAGGUCAGGAAAAACUCUGGAAGGUCCUACUUAUGAGGAAAUUAGAAUUCUAGAAGGCAUCCUUCUGCAACUGUGACCCCUGAGGAGUAUGAAAAAUUGAGUCACCAAAUCAAUUUUUGUUGCACAGGGAAAGUAUCCUGCAACUUUGGGUCAUUUUUGUCAAGCCACGGAGA